UACAGAGGUCCCGAGCGUUGUUCGGAUUCAUUGGGCGUAAAGGGUGUGUAGGUGGCGCGCUAAGUCGGGCGUGAAAUUUCGGAGCUUAACUCCGAAACUGCAUUCGAUACUGGCGUGCUUGAGGACUGGAGAGGAGACUGGAAUUCAUGGUGUAGCAGUGAAAUGCGUAGAGAUCAUGAGGAAGACCAGUGGCGAAGGCGGGUCUCUGGACAGUUCCUGACACUGAGACACGAAGGCCAGGGGAGCAAACGGG
rnacentral:rRNA from 1 species